rnacentral:rRNA from 1 species
CUACGGGCGGCACCAGUCGAGAAUCUUCCGCAAUGCCCGAAAGGGUGACGGAGCGAUGCCGCGUGAUGGAUGAAGCGUUUCGGCGCGUAAACAUCUUUUGUAGAGGAACAAGUUUAUUGAGCGUACUCUACGAAUAAGGGGCUCCUAAUUCUGUGCCAGCAGGAGCGGUAAUACAGAAGCCCCAAGCGUUACCUGGAUUUACUGGGCGUAAAGGGUGUGUAGGUGGUAUUGUUAGUCGUUCGUUAAAGCCCGAGGCUCAACCUCGGAAUCGCGAACGAAACGGCAAUACUUGAGGGCGUGAGAGGUCUGUGGAACCCAUGGUGUAGGGGUGAUAUCCGUUGAUAUCAUGGGGAACACCGAAAGCGAAGGCAACAGACUGGCGCGUUCCUGACACUGAAACACGAAACCUAGAGUAGCGAAGGGGAUUAGAUACCCGUGUAGUC